rnacentral:rRNA from 1 species
AAACAUGUCCUUUUGAAUUUAAUUUAAGGUCUGACCUGCCCACUGAAUAGUUGAAUGGCCGCAGUAUUUUGACUGUGCAAAGGUAGCAUAAUCAUUAGUUUUUUAAUUGAAGGCUUGUAUGAAUGGUUAGACAAGAUAUAUAUUGUUUCAUAUAAAAUUAUAGAAUUUUAUUUUUUAGUUAAAAAGCUAGGAUUUAAUUAAAAGACGAGAAGACCCUAUAGAUCUUUAUAAUUGCUGGAUCUUAUUAAUUAAGAAUAUUUUUUGUUUGAUUUACGUAAUUAUUUUAUUGGGGUGAUAGUAAGAUUGAUUUAACUCUUAUGAGUAAGUAACAUAAAUUAAUGGUUUAUUGAUCCAAUAUUAUUGAUUAUUAAAAUAAGUUACCUUAGGGAUAACAGCGUAAUUUUUUUGGAGAGUUCAUAUCGAUAAAAAAGAUUGCGACCUCGAUGUUGGAUUAAGAGAUAAGUUUGGGCGCAGCCGUUCAAAUUUGAAGUCUGUUCGACUUUUUAAUUCUUACAUGAUCUGAGUUCAAACCGGA